rfam:Puccinia triticina 1-1 BBBD Race 1 supercont2.202, whole genome shotgun sequence.
GUGCACUCAGCUAAUUAGUGGUUAAAGCAAAACUCAUGAAGUUUGGAGUCAUGGGUUCAAUUCCCAUAGUGCACA